rnacentral:ncRNA from 2 species
CUACGCUGAAGUGGUGAUGGUCCCCGAGCCGAAAGGCGAGGGGUGAAAAGGGAACACGGUGAGGCCUGUUCAGGUCGAGGCCGUGGCUGCCCCCGCAACUGUAAGCGGCGAGCAAAAUCCGUGAAUGCCACUGGCCGGCAAGGCUGGGAAGGCAGGAUGGCGCAACGACCCGCGAGCCAGGAGACCUGCCAUCACUGAGUUGACCGG